AGCAGCUGCCUUGACAGUAGUGAUGGUUUCAUUUGUUACAACUAGGCUUAAAAGAAAAAGGAUUGAUCCUGAAGUAGAGCCUGAUCCUCUAGUCUAUGUACUUAGGGAACAAAGUGAACUUCACAGACAGAGGACCCUCAACAUGAUUUACAACUCCACUGAUGUAGAGUGCAUUUCCAUGCUUAGGAUGAAGAGAGCCCCUUUUUUUGCUUUAUGCACGACCUUUAGAGAGAGGGGACUGGUAACUGAUAGGGAGGGGGUGUCAGUAGAGGAGCAAGUUGCCAUGUUCCUGCAUGUUGUUGGUCACAACCAAAGGUUUAGAGUUGUGCACCAGGCCUUUAGGAGGUCCAUUCAGACAGUACACAAGCACUUUCAUCAGGUUUUGUAUGCUGUUGGAGAGCUUAGGAAGGAACUUAUCAAGGCACCUAGCCCUACCACUCACCCAAAGAUCACUGGAAGCUAUAGAUGGAAUCCAUAUUUAAAGGACUGCAUUGGUGCCAUUGAUGGCACCCAUGUGCUGGCAAGGGUGCCUAGACACAUGCAGCAAGCUUUCAGGGGUAGGAAAACUAACCCGACACAAAAUGUGAUGGUUGCUGUGGACUUUGACCUCAAGUUCACAUAUGUUCUAGCUGACUGGGAGGGGUCUGCCCAUGAUGCACUUAUCCUGGCUGAUGCCAUUGAGAGGGAUGAUGGGUUCACUGUCCCACAAGGUAAAUUCUACUUGGUAGAUGCGGGGUAUGCAUGCCGCACUGGCUUUCUACCCCCCUUCAGGGGGGUUAGGUACCAUUUGAGUGAGUUUGGGAGCAGAAAUCGACCUACCAAUGCAAGAGAACUGUUCAACCUGAGACACUCAUCACUUAGAGUUACUGUGGAGAGGGCUAUAGGUGCAUUGAAGAACAGGUUUCGUAUCUUGGACAACAAGCCCUUUCACAAGUAUAAGACACAAGUCAAGCUUGUGUUGGCAUGCUCGAUCCUGCAUAACUGGAUUUUAGGCUUUGGCAUUGACGAAGUAGUGCCUAAUGAGGAGGGUUUCACUGGCACAAUGGUAGAUCCACUAGAUGACAAUGGUAGCCAGAGCCAAGAUUCCAGUGCCAUGGCUGCAAAGAGGGAUGCCAUUUGCAAUGUUAUGUGGGAAGGGAGGGGAAGCUCUAGGAUAUGAUGGUUUGUUUACCCUGCUAUGGAACUCAUGUUUGUUUGUUGAUAAUGUAAUAAUAUGAUGGACAUGGCUGAGACCAAUUUUUUUCAUUCCCAUUUGUCUCUUCUUGUUGUGCUGAUAUUAUUAUCCUAAUUUGUACAUGCAAACCAGUGGUAAGAUGCCUUCAGUCCCAGCUGGUGAUCAGGGUGGGUUUGUCCCAGCUACUGAUGUGAUGACUGAGACGAUAAGGGUUGGUGCUAGUGCACCAGCUAACGCUGAUGAUGCUACUGCAUCUAGUGCUGGUGCUGCUCCAGCAGCAGCUGGACUUGUUGCUGCUGUUCCCGGGGGUCCUAGGGCAAUGAGGUGGAACAACAACACCUCUGGAUUUAUUCUUAGGAGGAUGGCUCAACUUCUUAGUGAUGGUAGCAGGCCUGACAAGGUCUUCAAGGACAAGGAUGUCAACUCUGUUGCCAAAGCCCUUAAGGAGUACAGUGGGGAGGCAGUGAGCCCAACUCAGGUGUAUAACCACUUGAGGAAAUGGAGGCAGAAAUGGUCUAGGGUGUCUAAGCUCAAAGACCUUAGUGGGGCUUUAUGGGAUAGUGACUCCAAUGCUAUCUUGCUUGAUCAGGAGCACUACCUUGGCCACUGCAAGGACCAUCCAAAAGAUGCAGAGUUCCUAAACUGCCCUAUUAGGUUCUACACUGAGAUGGAGGCCAUUUUUGGCCAUGCUAUGGCCACUGGCAAAUUUGCACUUGGUUCUGGUGAAGCCUUAGGACAGAACCAGGUUGAUAGUGUUGCUGCCAAGGUUGAGGGACCUGCCUUCACCUAUAUCUCUGAAGAGAGAGCACAAACUGAUGUUGGAGAGGGUAGCAAGGCCACCGAGAACCCCUCCAUAGCUGUGGGUAGGAAGAGGAAGAGAGGGAACUUCAGUGAGGAUGAGAUGCUUAUGUUGACCAAUAUGUCUGAUGCAGUGAACAAUGUGGCUAAUGCCCUUAGAGAGACUGGACUUGCCCAUGUGGAUGCUAACCUCUACCUAGCUGUGAUGGAGAUGCCUGGCUAUUCUGAGGAGGCACUGAUUGUUGCCUACACCUUCCUCUUGGACAACAAGGCUCAAGGCAGGGGCUUUGUUCACAUGACUGAGGCACAUAGAAACAUUUGGCUUAGGACCUUCCUAGCCAAGAACUACUACAUGUAGGUGAAUUACAUGUUGGUGUGCGCCACCACCCACUCUCUCUUCCUACCCACUCUCUCUUUUGACUAUAGCUGGGAAUAGUUUGUUGUAGACAUUUUGGUGUGCAGUCUGGUUUACUCCCACCAGUCCUUUUGUCUAAUUUACCUAGGAGGGUGGCUAACAAUAGGUAACAUUUGGGUGGACACCAUUUGAACCCUAAGCUGUUGGGCUCAAACUUAUUGUAAGGCACUAUUUGUGUAGCCUCUGUUGGCUGCUGUGGUAAGUUUAUAUUAUUUCAUCCAUUUCAUACUAUGAUUGAAGUUUUUACUUGGCCAAUGAUGCUAUAUACACCAAUCUGAGGUGCAUUUGCAUUUGAUGUGUUGUACUGCAGCUGAGGCCCGUGUUUACUUGUGCUUUCCUUUAUUCCUAUGAUGACAUAAUUGCCAUUGAACCAUGUUGUCAUUAUUGCCCGUGUUAAUGUGGAUGAUCUUUAAAUUGUGAGGUACUGGGCAUAUGCUGAAAAUUAUGUUGUUUCCACCAUGUUGUGAUUAUUGCCUUGGAACCAUGGGGCACAUCCAUGCCCAAUGCAACUGUUAUCCACAAAAGAUGACUUGAUGGCUGGGUUGGAUGAAUAUCAUGGUUUCAUGGCUGCCCAGCUAUGUUCCUUAUGCUCCAAGUUAAAAGAUCACAUGAAAAUGGCAAUUAAUAUCUGAGGAAAAUCAUUGCUAUUGUCAAUCUUGCAUGGCUUCUUUGAUGGAUAUGUUGCAGAUGGAUGCCCAACUACCUGACUAUGUUGCAGAUGGAUGCCCAACUACCUGAUCAUGGCUUCUUUGAUUGUAACUUGUAAAUAGCAAUGACAAUAAUUGAUUCAGUUAAGUUAAAAUUGUCUAAGGCUAACUCAGCUGUAAUGCAUGUA